GACAUGGAACUGCAUAUGAAGCAAAGAUGUGAAAUUUAAUUCCUCCCUGCAGAAAAGGCGACAGACGGUGACAUUCACUGAUGCUUGCUGAACAUCUGUGGAGACCUAACAGUGGAAGUGAGCACCAUGAGGUGAUGAGUGGUGUGUUUCAGCAGUGGUGACAGCAACAGUGAAUUACCUCAGCUGAUGCAUGGAUUUACCAUGGGCCUAAUCAACAUGAUAGCCUCCUGUGCCCCAGGCCCUGUGGUGCUGGAGUUGAUGUUCUGCCAAGCAGAGGACCACUGACUGUGCCAGACAGAGAGGGUGGUUGUCCUUGGCAGCAGAACUAAAGACUUUGCUACUUGCUCAGAAUUGCACACCAGCUCCCAUUAGUUCUGCUUGCAUGGAUGGGUAUCCCUUGACCUCCGCUUCCAGGGUUGACUGCACUCCCACAGAAGGAAAGCAGAGAUUUACAGCAUUACCAGCUACCAGAUAAUCCAGCAAGUUACCAGGCCAAAUGGCUCUCUGAACACGAGCCCACAAAGCGCUGAAUGAGGAAGUGCACUGCUCCAGGAGAUUUCAGCACAGCCAGCCAGAAGGUGGCUUUAGCAGUGGUGCUAGAAACAAAAAAAUGGCUUGAAACGCGUAUUAGAAUUCAGUAAAGAGAAACUACGGGGAAGAAAGAAGUACAAGCCAACUGCAGAGCAGGAAAACUGUUGAACAUUCUCCAAUUUCUUUUGACACUUCACAGUGACAGAAACCCCUGUGCUAAAUAUGUUGGUGCUGAGCUGCUGUGAAAAUUUACUGUUCAAUAGCUUCCAGAGUUUCUCAUCUCUUACCUACAGUGAGCAAGCAUAGUGUCUGACCAUUGGGCUUCCUUGCUGAGUAUGGCUGUCUACUGAGUAGCUCAAAGACUUUUAAAGGAUUUUGUGAACUAUGUUUCCAAGGUGCCCUCUACUUUUAAUCUCCUUAUGACUGGAAAUUGUUGGUCCAUGGCGCUAUUGGUGAGAAGCAAAGCUACUGAACUUUGUGAAUCAGCAAAUGAAUGAAAAAUCACUGGGACUAACAAUGCCUGUUGGAUCUUAAAAGAAAAUAACACUUCAUAACGUGCUUCAUUUUGACAAACACAAUUUCAUUGUAAUUUGAAGUAGCAACACUUGGCAAUAUAUUGAAUCUUCGUUUUUCUUAGGUCACGUGCUGGCUGGCUGGCAGCUGGGUCCAAGGAUUGAAGGUAAAAGACACAGAGGUGGAAAUGAAACACAAGGUCAUUUAAUUUACAAUCCUUCAUUUUGCUCAGCAACUUUUUGACUAGUAUCAUUUUAACACUAUUGAUGAUCUCAACUGAUUAUUUCCUGUAGAGAGUGUUCACAGCCUAAUAUUAAUUGCACAACACUGUAAAAUUUCCAAAAAAUUUGAAGGGGUUAAAACAAAAUGGUACUGCAGCUUUCUGCUAUUAGAUAUCUGCUAAUGGGAGCACAUGAUGAAGGUUAGAGUAAAUUAAUUGCUUGAUUAUACAACCCUUGGAUCUUGCGUUCAUAGGCUAAGUAACAAAUCAGUGUUUCUGUAUAUUUUUAUUCUAAUUACAUAAUGAUAUAGUAGAGUGUAGGGACAGUCAUCCCAAUGGUAAUUUUUAAUUGUGGAAGUUCAGAGACUUCUGGGUAGGUUGGAACAGUAGCUGAACCUGCUGCUCUGUUUUUGGUUUUGCUCACACUGAAAUGUAGGAAAGCCUCUUAGUGGGAUGCAUGCAUGCAUGUCUAGGAAUACUGGCACUGCUUGGUUUCACUAAUUUUUUUUUUUUUAAUAGACAAAGUGGAUUUUCUGCCCAACUUAGAAACAUAAAUCUGCCAAGAUGUAUAACAAAGACUAAGUCAUGGACAAAGCAGCCAGAGGAAACUCUGAAACUGUCUGAUAGCACUGGGGUAACAGAACGUCACACUAAGCUGCAACACCUCAUCCGCCAGCAAGCUCCUUUGGACUGUAGCUGCCCUAUAACGUUUCUCACAUAUGCAUGGAACUAUGAAAUUCAGUGUUCCAGCACAACAUUAGUUAGAUUUAGCUUUGGUGCUUGGCUGCUGGUUACUGCUGAAAAAACAGAGGUUUGCUUUGCUAAAGCAUCCAAAAUGAAAUUUGCUUGCUGUUGCUGCACUAAGUUGCCAUCCAGCAUGCACUGAAGAAAAAAAUCCUGGUUAUUUUCCCAUGGCUCCCUUAGCCAUACAAGUGCUAGGUGGGAAUGCACCUUCCUUGUGAAAAUGGACUGUGGAGAACAGAUCAGCUGGAUUCUCAGGUUGUUCUCCUGGGGCCUUGGCAGGCUGGGACUCAGAGCUGCAGGCAGCCUCCCUUCCACUCAACCUCUGCAGGGUGAGCAAAACAGUGCUUCUACCUCCAUGUAGCUCUGUUUUGUAUAUGUCCUCUGUUCACUGCAAACAUAUGAAAGACACAUGUUUUAUUGCAGAUUUUUUUGGCAUGCAGACAAAGUGCAAGGAGAGGGGCUAAUUAGGCUUCAGGGUGGCACCUCCCUCUAGCAUCAUAAAUAAAAGCUAUUUAACAAAAAAUAUAAUAGGAUGCCAGUAAAAAUGCUUGGAAAUAGAAUUACAAUAGCCAAACUUGUAUUUUGUAAGUUGUUUACCAUAAAUGAAAUAAAGUACAAAGGAAAUGGAAAAUGUGGUAACUGUACUGAAUGCCUUUAUAUAGUUUUCAGAUGCCUCUCGGAGUUAUAUUUUAUUUCCUCUCAAUAUGUUUAUAGACUCUGUGUGGAAGGUCAUACUAUUUUUCCCUAGAGUUUUUUUCCUUCUGUCUUGGCUAAACCUUCCUAGAAGAGUUUUGGAACUUGGCAGUGUAAGAAACUUAAGACAGAGAAGCAGACUUCCCUUCCUAGACAUAUGUCAAUUUGAAAAUAUGAAAAAAAAAAGUUGCAGUAAAUAUAAAUCAAACACCAUGUGAUCUGCAGCAAAGUAGAGGGUUUUACCUAUCAAUCAGCUCUGAAGAUCCCAAAUUUAGUGCAACUAUGUUGAAGAUCACCAUCCUAUCUGCAGUCUCUACGUAGCUCUUAUGAUGACUAAUAUACCUUUCUUAUCUAAAACUAUUAGAGAAUGCUUUUUGCAAGUUAGCACUGGCAGUCACAAGUGAGUGGACACCAUCAUUUUUAACUUAGGUAACAUUCCAACAAAGUAACUGUGUCAUAUCCUUGUGUCAAGAAGGCUCUAGAUCUGAGACUUACCAGGCUAAGGUACAAACAAGAACUGGC
ensembl:lncRNA